rnacentral:lncRNA from 1 species
AGGCUUAAUACCAUUUUUUCUAUGAUUAUACUUCAUCUAUGCUUGCUUGAAAUGCAUUUUCCUUUAGGAGCAUGCCUAGGGUUUGAUUUUGAUCAUUACUUGCCUCAACCUUUGAGUAUGCUUUGAUGUGAUUCCUUUGUGAUGUCUUGGGUUUAUUUAUGAAUAUUGACAUCAUGUAUAUGCUUUUGAUCUCAUUCAUUUUUAUAUGAUCAAUUGCUCACAUUUGUGGUCACUUCCCUUUACAACUCUCAAUGAUGAUUGUGUAUUUUGGUGCUUGUAUCAUGGGCUCAAUGCUUGUUUGAGUUUCUUCUUGAUCUGGAGACUUUAUUUAUUUGAAUCACAUGUCUUUAUUUUCAUUUUGAUGUGAUGUUGCUACUCAUUUUGGUUCGGAAACUUGUUGCUUGCUUAAUUUGUUUUCUCAACUUGUUUGAGCAUUGGCUCCCUCUUUCAUGACUAGUUCGAAUGAGAUUGUUGCUAUUUGUUAAUCUGUGACCAUUUGGUCAUAAUUUGUGAUGUCCUAAAGCAUGUUUAGACUUAAUAAUUCACCUAUAUCUCUUGUUUGUGUGAGGUAUUCUAAUCUUCUCUUCAAUGACUUGAUAUGGAUUUCUAUUGCUUUAUUUCUCUUCCAUGACUUGAUAUGGAAUUGCUAUUGUUUUUCUUUUCUUCCAUGACUUGAUAUGGAUUGUUAUUGCUUCAUUUAUCCUUCCAUGACUUGAUAUGGAUUACUUUGUUCAUUUUUUAUCUCUUUGUUCCAUGACUUGAUAUGGAUUACCUGGUUUAUCUUUCAUUUGUU